AGCACGUUUUUGUUACGAAAAUCACGUACAUAAUCUCACAAAUUGAUUUUCUCUAUGCUCCGACCUAGACUUUACAACAAUUGGCGCCCAACGUGGGGCUGGGGUAUAAGGAAAAUAUUUCGAGCUGAAUCGUGAGAUUAAGCGAGUUGGAACGAAACGAAAUGUCCACGCAGGAAGACGAAGUUGAACGUCGCGCGGAAGCAAGAAGAAUCGAGAACGGAAAUGUGGAGAGACUGAAGAGAACCCCAGGUGGAAACAGGGCAGUAAUUACGAGGUUUGAGCGAGAAGCGACUUUGAUAAUACGGGAUCAUGGUGAUACCCUUACCACGGAAAUCCUAGCGAAGCUGGAUUCGAUUUUGUCUGUUCUUCAGCAGAAAAGGAGGCUAUUGUGUAACUUGAACGAUGAAAUUUUGGCAAAAUGUCAUAUUGAUCAAAUAGAGAAAGAAAUCGAAGAAUCAGCUGAGAUAGAUGUGAAGAUCGAGGAAAUUAUAUUGAGAAUUGGAGCUUGCAAAAGGGGUACUGUUGUUGGAGCUUUACGCGGACUUGCUUAACCGACUGGAGUUUCUACACCGCCACCCGCUAUUCGAAAUGACUUGUCGACCGAUGCAACGCUCUUCGUACCAGCAAAUGGACAGCUGAAUAGGAGUGGUAGCUCCUCACAUUUGAAAAAUAUUGAUGUAAAGCUGCCUAAAAUUAAUUUGCCUAAUUUUUCUGGCGAUGUGACUAAGUAUCAAGCCUUUUGGCAAAGCUUUCAGUGUGCUGUGCGUGAAAAUUAACAGUUAUCGGCGGUUCACAAAAUGAACUAUCUAAUGCGAUCACUUGAAGGAACUGCAUUUAAAGCCUUGGAGGGGCUGGCAAUUACCGAAGAAAACUAUGAGCAUGCUAUAAACAUUUUGCAGACAAGGUUUGGAAAUCCAAAGCAAAUAAUUAGCGCUCACAUGCAGGCGCUGUUGAAUUUGCAGAGUUAUCCAAAUGAAACUGUGUCACAGAUUCGAGCAAUAUACGACAAUAUCAAUGUGCAAGUCCGUGGACUGGAGACGUUAGGCAUUUCAUCGGAACGAUAUGGCAGUUUGUUAGUGCCCGUGAUAAUGUCAAGAAUGCCGGCAGAAAUUACCUUGCAAGUGGCUCGAAAGACAUCAGAGCAAAUUUGGCGAAUAGACGAGAUUUUGGACAUCAUAAGGAAAGAAAUUGAGGCAAGGGAAAUAAGCCGAAAACUUGACACGAAGACCACUUGAAAACCUGAGAGAACAAGCUCUGCAGAAUAUCGAGGAACAACGAGAGCCUUUGCGGUUAUCAAAGAUGGUAAAAAGGAACGAAAGCUGCAGUGUUAUUUUUGUCAAGGAGCACACUAUGCAGAAAAGUGUAAGGUAGUUACCAGCAUCGAAGAAAGAAAAUCAAAAUUGAUGGAAGGAAAUCGUUGUUUCAAUUGUUUGAGGAUUGGAGAUCGAGCGAAAACAUGCAGAAGUCUACCGAAGUGCUUUCACUGUAAAAGCAAACACAAUUCAGCAUUGCACGAAGACCUAGUUAUUGAAGAGAAGCGAGGGGUACCUGCACCGCAAACGACAGUCAAUACCGCGUCAGAUGAGAGAAAGAAUGUUCUUCUAAAGACAGCACAGACGUAUGGCUUUGGUGCGGAUAGGAGCGAGAAACAGCUGGUGAACAUCCUGUUUGACUCAGGCAGUCAGAGAAGCUACAUUUCAGAAGAAACGGUGAAGAAGCUGGGGUUGAAGGUCGAGAAAACAGAGACCGUAUACUUGAAAACUUUCGGUUCAAAUAAAUAUGGGAAGUAAGUGAUAGGGUAACGGUAAAUCUAGAAAGAGGAGAUGAAAUAUUGCCGUUAACCGUAUUAAGUUCCCUCCAUCUUUGCUUGCCAUAAAGUACACCAAUAGAUGUAAGUUGCUAUCCACAUUUACAAAGUUUGCAACUCGCUGAUAGUUAUGCGACUUGCGAAAAGCGCAUAGAAUUAAAUAUUGGUGUAGAUUGUUAUUAUCGCAUAGUGCAAGGCGAAGUAAGAAAGGGCGGCAAUGGCCUUGUUGCAAUAAGUAGGAAACUCGGUUGGUUGCUUUGUGGACCUGUUGUUUGUAAUGAAGGUGAUCAAGGCUCUUUAAGUAAUGUGAUGAAUUUAAUUGUUGAUGUUUUACCUUCGAGAGACGAAAUUACAGAUGAUAGCAGAGAAAUCGUCGAAUCGCUGACGAAAUUUUGGAAAAACAAAUCCGCGGGUCUUUACGAAACCGAGAAUCCUGAAAACAAGAAGAUCGAUAAUGGAGAGGUGGAUAUCAACUUCAAGGAUGGUCGCUACACGAUCGAUGGAGGAAAGAGUACCUACUGGGGUUGUUGAAAACUUACAGGCCAAGAUAUUUGUAUCCUUAGGAAGGACCAGAAAAAAAGGUCCUUUUGGAAACUUUGCCUAGUGUUAGAGCUGCUGACAGGAACAGAUGGUUCAGUGCGAGCAGCCAGGGUAUUAGUAAUAUCACGGGAUGGCAGCUGAAGCUGACCCGUCUCCACUGGAUCCAAAUUGCACAAUUGCCCUGUUUGCUUUCUUUCUGACGGGAGUUGAAUCAAAUUACGAGCAGGCAAGGUGAAUUUCCGGAUAAGAAACUUGAAACUUUACAGUUUGGAAUAAUAAUUCCCGUAUUGAUCAGAAAGUAUUAGAGUGGGAGUUUUUUAAGAAACUACGAGUAGUUAAUUCAAUAAAAGAUUAAUAAUCUUUCAGUACUAAAAAUUCUCAACGCUUCUUAUAAAAACGAGUUUAUGCUAAACUCCCCCUGUUAUUUGUUAACGCCCUUGACUCCUUAUCAUAAAUUCCUAUGACAAAACUGCUGUAAAGCAAGAACACAUUGCAAAAACUGCAGUAGAAUAUUUGAUCAAAGAAGAGUGUUUUAUCUUUCGGAUCAGGCAUAUGCACAAGUUUGUUCUCAAAUCAUCAUUUCAAUUGUAAAGAAUGAAAAGGAAUUUGGCCCUCUGAAAAUUGUUAGUAGUUUUAUUCGAUCAAGAACAAAAAUUAAAGGCUCAAGUUCUUGGUGCUUCUAUAUCGUGAAAAAAUGUAUUUUAGAUAAGAUUGAUCUGCGCCAAUUGAUUAAUUGAUCUGAAAGAAUACUACUAAUCAUUAAGUAUAUCUAAUACUGGUUUUGCUUAAAUGUUGCUUUACUUCUUACUGUAAGUUAAAAUGUCUGUUUCAUGUUGAUCAAAAUUUAGAGAUUUAGGCUUUUAUGCUUUAGGCUAAUUAUUGAGUAAAGUUUUGGUAAUUAUAAAGAAAAUAGAACUAUGGUGUUCGGGCUAUUUACAAAUAUCAAUUUAGUAGGUACAGUAGAUUUACUGGUCAAAUGAAAAAUUUCUUACUUAGAUUGGAAUUUUCAUCCUUCCACGCCCCCCCAAAAUUAGCAACUUGUUUUCGUCCCUGGCUCUAGGUGAAAGGUUCGAAGAUCAUCGAUCGCAUCAGUUAAUAUUGAAAGCUUUAUAACGGUUUCCAUUCCAAAAAGCAACUCAAGUAUAAAGUAUAACUACCAUGGGUGUAGCGGAUGCUAUUAAACUACCUACAAAGCAUCAAAAGAGUACCGGCAUUCUUCGUACACAGCGACAGGAUACCUAUGUUUAUCGGCGGUAUCUUAAGAUCAGUUUCUGAUGAACGCACAAACCGUUCUACAAAAAUAAUAAUUGCUAUGGAUGUAGUUAACAAUAGUUCAUUCAUUUAGUUUGAGCUUCGUAAUGCACGUAAUCGUAAAGCCUCAUUUCAAGAGUCGUUAGGAAACUGACUCAAGAUUCAAGCUUCACAGGUAUUGAGUAUUGGCGUCAAUCUAUUGUUAGAGAGAUUUAACUUUUCAUGUUUUAGUAAAAUCUGAUUAGUUUGACGAAUUGUUUUUCUUAAUUCCUAUUGGUUACGCUAUUUUUAUACUUUUUGUAAAACGUAUAUAUGCACGUGUGAUUUAACUUAGAGUAGAGAGUUUGAGACUAGAGUUAACAGAAUGGAAGUCUCAGAAUUGAAAUUUUUGAUGUUGAACUUGGAAGAUGUUUCUUUUUGAGCACAACUCUGCAAUUAAAUACGUAUCUUGAACUAGCGCUUGAAGAAUACUUAACACGUUCUCUAUCAUCCGAACAUUUUGCGAAUAAUUUUCUCAAGUAGUCUGGUGCAAGUAAAUUUAAAGAUUUGUUAGUUAGCGUGGCUGUCUCCUUUCUUACAAGAUUACUGAUAGUUGACCAGCCAAGAUUCUGAAUUAUCGGAGCAGCAGACGCAUCGUAUGGGCUGCUAGUUACAAUUCUGGCAGCUCUAUUUUAGAUUUUAUUCAAGACGUCAAGCCUUGAUUCACUACAGCAGCCCCAAACGGAACAACAGUAGCUCAAAUGGGGCUCAACAGUUCCUCUAUACAUUUUGUUGAGUAUGUCAGAUGGAAGAUAUUUCUGAGAAUACCUAAUAAGUCCAAGGACUCGAUUAGCCUUGGUCUUGAUAGUAUCGAUAUGCUUGUCCCAGUUACGUUUACUGUAUAUCUGAACAUCUAGGUAUCUUGUGUUGGUAAUCAUUUCAAUGUCUUGAUCACCUAUUAAAAAAGAUGGUGGAGCAUCAGGCUGGCUUUCAGUCUUAUGGAUGUUUGGACCAGAGCCUGUAACAAGUGAUUGCGUUUUCGCAACGUUCAGGGAGAGUUUGUUUGCAUGCAACCAAUCCUGUAGCUUCAAAAGAUCUAAGUUUAGGUCACUUUGCAGGUCAUCAAUACUUUUUUAAGAGAGGGAAAUGGCCGUGUCAUCAGCAUACAUGCUGACAUGAGAUUUCUGCAAGGAAAAAGGCAAAUCAUUAAUGUAAAUCAGGAACAAGAGUGGACCAAGACAAGAGCCUUGAGGAGCUUCACAAUUUGUUCCCCUCACAUCAGAGGCGGUGCAAUCUACCCUGAUGUGUUUCAUUUAUCCAAGUAUGAUGUGAACCAGUCAUGGUCCAGGCCGGUCACUCCGUACAUUUUCAGUUUUUCAGUAGGGUUUUAUGAUCAACCGUGUCGAAAGCCUUCUUCAAGUCAAUAAAGAUUAGACCAGUGUAUUUUCCUUUAUCUUUAUCCAGGUACCGAUCAUUGGUGCUAGCCAGAAGGGCUGUGGCUACCGAGUGUAAGAGUCGAAAACCAGGUUGAUGCUCAUAUAGUGAUUUAUUUGCAUCCAGGUAUUCAUAAAACUGAUUAAAAGUUAAUUUCUCGCUAUUUUCCAAUCCUCCGGAAAUUUCCCGGCAAGCAAUGAUUUAUUGAAGAGAUCUCACAAGGACCCGCCAACCACUGGCAAAGCAAUCUUAAAAUAAAAGCUCACAAUGCCAUCGUGACCUGAACAAUGCGAUGUCUUCAUCUUAUUCAAGGUUGAUGAUUAUUUUUUUUGUCAUGAUGGCAGAAAAAGAGAAACUUAAUGAAGGAGUUUCAAACGGGUAUUCACCAGACAAGAGUGGAUUGGCUUUAUUUGGAAUUUUAUCGCUAAGUUUAUUCCCAAUGCUGCAGAAGUACUCAUUCAUUGAAGAUGCAAUUGCUUUGUUACCCCUAAUUGUUUGCCGUCUACAGUAAGGUUAGGCGCAACUGUAGUGUUCGACUUUUUGUUAAUGACUUGGUUGAUGGUUUUCCAAGUUUUCUUGAGGUCAUCUUGAAACUGCGUGAUUUUUUCAGAGAAAUACUCACGUUUAAGUUGUGUAUUCAAGUUAUUUAACCUGAUUAUACUUACAGUGAUUUUCAAUCUGUUUUAUCAGGGCUAUCGCAAGGAUCAGUCCGUGGUCCUAUUCUUUUCAAUUUCUACAUCAAUUACCUGUUUUAUUUCAUUAAAAAGGCUUCUCUUGUAAAUUACGCAGAUGACAACACUUAAGCACAUUUUUCAAAAAGCCUGCCUCAAUUAAUUAACGUCUUGGAAAAAGAAGCAAGCAUCGCCCUUACCUGGCUCAAGGGUUAGCAAUCAUUUGAUUCUGAUAAAGCCUUAAUCAGAAUAAAAUGAUUGCUAACCCAAAAAAAUUUCAUGCUCUUCUCGUCAGAAAGAAUAAAAAGUUCUGAAGCUUCAGCAAAAGUUCUAU